CUUGGUUGGCGGAUUUCAUUCUCUGCAUGAGUCUCUCCACUUCCUGCCUCGUGCUCUCGAAGUUAUUCCGGGUAUUCUGCAAAUUGAAUUGAAGCUGCUGCUUGUAUGGUGCAAACUCCUGAGCCAGUUCAUAUCCUUCAUGGUAAAAUGUAAAUAAUCCUUGAAGAAAGGCCAAAAGAGGUUCAACAAAUUCAAAUUUCUUUUUCUCUUGUACUUCUUGAAUUUUAAAAACAUAUUCCAAUGAUGCUUCAUAAAAGUUUUGGUGUUCUCUGUCAAUCUGUGUAUCUGCAUCUUGCAAAUGAGAUUCUUUCUUCUUUGCUGAUAAAUUUAAGUGCUUCUCUAGGAUGGAGUAAUAUUUCUCACUUUCCUU
rnacentral:lncRNA from 1 species